AUAUGGCAAAUUUGGGCCACAGACCCUACACAACAAAACAAAGUUUAGAUCUACAAACGUACAAAGAAAGAAAAGAAAAACAGAAAGAGAGAAAGAACAACAACAACAAAGAAUAUGAUACUCGCGGUCGUGUUUGCCAACUCCGUCGGCAACAUCCUAGUUGAACGAUUUAAUGGAGUUCCUGCUGAAGAACGGCUGCAUUGGAGAUCUUUCUUAGUUAAACUGGGAGCAGAUAAUCUUAAAGGUGUUAAAAAUGAAGAGCUCCUUGUUGCUUGCCACAAAUCAGUUUAUAUUGUCUACACAAUACUUGGGGAUGUCAGCAUCUAUGUUGUGGGCAAGGAUGAGUAUGAUGAACUUGCUUUGUCAGAAGUGAUCUUUGUGAUAACCUCAGCUGUUAAGGAUGUAUGUGGGAAGCCUCCAACUGAGCGCCUUUUCCUGGAUAAGUACGGAAGAAUUUGCUUGUGUUUGGAUGAAAUUGUUUGGAAGUUGGAUGACAACUAUACCUGACUACAUCCUGCUGUGUGGCUUUAGCCAUCUUCAUGUUUACAUGCUCUCCAUGUGCUAGGGAUAUUUGGAGAACACUGAAAAAGAUAGAAUCAGAAGACUCAUAAGGUUAAAACCUCCAGUAGAGUUCUGAACCAAACGUUUCUUGGUGUAUACAGUGUAUUGAAGACAGUGGUGGUCUGGGCUUGGACAAAUGAUUGUGUCACGUAACAGUACACUGAAAAUUUUCACCUACUAUGUUUUGUUGCGCCUUUUAUGUUGUUAUGAUUAGAUUUGAGAUUUUUUUAUUGUGUCCUUGUGGGAGGAGAGUUGGCUUGAUCAAUAUUUGCCUAGUGAUAGCCUAAUAGGUAAAUGUCAUAAAAUUCUUUACAGACUUACGUAAAUUGUUGAUAUUUUCAGUCUUGGUUUUAUGAAUUUGAAAUGCGACUGGUCAUAAGUAGCGGUGAAUUCUACCUUUUGUUGUACUAAAUGAUGGAAAAGUCUUUUGCAGAUUAUUUUUCAAUAUAUUCUUUCAAUUAGAAUC